GCCUUCCAUUAGUAAAGGGACAAUGAAGGGAAGGCGAACCCCGCGUCCAAAACAUGGCCAAUGAAAGGACACUGGAAUGGAAGCCAGGAAUCCUGCUGUGGUGGAGAGGCAUAGACUCAUGAGUCCACCACAAUCGGAUACUUGCUUCUUUUUAACAGCCCUAUCAGCCGAGAGAAAUAAUGACUCCUGAAUCAUUUGACAGUAAAAAAGUUAAAAUGAUGUCUCAAUGGCGCUGCAUCAUGCCAGACGCGCGUGGAUGAUUUGAAGAUAUUAGCCUAACAAGAUGGAAGCAGGUUUAAAAUUUUACAUAAGAAGUUACCUUUUUCAGUUGUGUUGAUGUUCCUUUCAGCUGGUCCUAUAGUACCCCUCCUCAGGAAUGUCUCCCCAGUGCAAGGACAAAGACUGAAGAGACUGCUAUAUUGAUGGACUCUCAAGCCAACUAUGAAGUUGAAACAAAGAAAGUGAUCACCUGAAGACACCUCCUCUGCUAAGAAACACCCCCAAAUUGUGCAGCUUCUGCCACUAGAACUCUCAGAACAAGAGACAAUCUUUUCAAGAAACAGAAAAACUCAAUAAUGACAUCUAGAUUUUCAUGAGCCAAGAACUUUCCCUUCCUCAUGUGUAUUCCUCUGUUUGUACUUAAAUUCAUGUGACAUUCAUUUUUUUCCUAGUAUGGAUAUGCUUAUUAAUGCACUUGUUUCAAAAUCCCAAAUUGCACAAAUGUGUUAAUAUUUUAAGAAACAAAAUGAAUCCUACAAGGAGAAUGAUUUUUAGCCACACAUAGGGUUGGAUCUUGAGAGUGACCUACAGAAUAAAAGUACUUUUAAAAUAAAGUAGUCAGAGGCUAUUCAAAGGGUAAAAUAAUCAUAGUACCACAUUGGUCCACUUGACACUAACCAAUCGAUCAUUUUUUUUUAAUCAAGAAAGCUAGAUUCUAUCAGAUAAAAUCACUGCUUCUAAAGAGUUUAAAUCUAGUUAGAAAAAGUUAUAGAAAUGUUUGCAAAGAUAAGUAACAGAUAGAGUCAGUAGAGGAUAAGAUCAAAAACAAAACCAAGCAAAAGAUGAGUUCAGGGGAGUUUGCCAUCAAGUUGGCAAAACUGACUUACUUAGGGAAGAAAGUUAUAAAACAGGAAAAUAUGAGAUGAACCUUGAGUGAUGUGGAAGAUUUAGAUAAAUGGAAAGGAAGGAGAAAAUGGAGUUCUUUAGGUGGUUGUAAUUGGAGGAGGAAAUGAAUACACACAUCUUGUUGACUUAAACCCAGACAUUCAGCAGCUCUCUAUACAUAUCUGGAAAAGACUGCACAGUCACCUCCUGUCUCUCACCCCAGGUAUUACUUAGAAUUAUUAUCAUAUUUCCCUUCCUUUAAAGUAAGUAAGGGUGAUUGGUGACAAUAUGGAGAACUAUGAUUUUUCCAUUAACCUAAUAAUAAUUGGUAUUUAUUGAGUUCUGUUAAGCAUUUUACAUAUUAACUCACUUAAGCCUUUCAACAGCCUUGCAAAAUAGGUAUUAUUAUCCCCAUUUUACAGGCAAGAAAACUGAGGUUUAAGUAACUUGCCGAAGUGCCAUAUACAGGGCUCACAUUCAGUAUUGCAGUUGCAAAGCUCAUGAUCUAUAGUGCCAAGUUGCAAUAUUGUAGUCAAUGUCACAAUUAUUACCCCUUUUUAUAUUCCUUGAUAUUUUUCCAUGGCAAACAAUUAGCUAUUUCAUUUAAUAAUCACCUAAAACUUUUCAGUCUUCUGAUUAAAAUUACGCUGGAGUGAUAGAAUGUAUUUUCAUGAUAGAAAUUGGGAAAAAAAAUGGGGAAUGAAGUUUAUCAGCAUUUCAGACUUGUUUUUUUUUUUUUUUUUUGCAAGACUUUGAUGAGAUUGUUCACUUUUGUCUAUGUAAAAUCCCAAAUCCUUGAGAAUAAAAAAGGGGGAGGUUUAAGUCACUUGUUGCAAUGCCCUUUUUAAUAGAGGCAAUAAAUCUAAAGGCCAUAAAUUUAGAGUGACUUACAGAAGAUCGAACUUUGGAGUGUGGCAGAGUAAGGGAUGGAAACCGGGCCCUCCAGUUCACUAUCAGUAGCUUUUGCACUGGUCUGCCCUUCCUAAAUUAAGUAUGCACUUCAAUUUGAUGAGUGGAAACAGUCUAUCUGGGCAGUAACCAGGGAGCUUUGUGCCUAGUAGAUUGCUUCUGUUCUGCACUUCUUUGGUUUCCCACCUCAAUGUAAAAAAUAGCUAGCAAUGAAGUCCAGAAGUUGUCAAUGGUUCAUCCCCAGAAGAAUGCAUAAUGUCCAAAGUUGUAUGUGUAUGAUGUCUUCAAUGGUAUUAAGUUAUUUCAAAUUCUUAGUUCACCUACAUAAAUCAUUUCUAACAAGCAUCUUCUUAACCAACUUUAUGCACAGUGUAUGUUUGUAAGUGCUUCUGCACGAAUGUUUAUACAUGACUGUUUCCAUAGUACUUAUGUUUUUAAAAAUAUUCAGUCAUUUCCUACUAUAAUCCUCAUGUAUCCAUGUAACUGACUCAAAAAUACUUCAGCCACAGAAAGCUAAAACUGAGCAAAUCUCAUUCUUCUUUUCCAUCCCCUUUGCAUGUGGCUGGCAUUUAGUAAUGAUUAAUAAUAUGGCCAGCUGAAUAACAGAGGUUUGAGACACAAUUCUUUCUCAAAGGAGUCAGCUAAGCUGGGUCUACUUAUGGACAAACAUCUAAAUGUGUGGAAGUAUCUGAUAUUUGACAAUGGUAAAUUUCCACUUAGCUAGCUAGCAUUGUCAGACUUCAAUCUCCUCAUGGCUCUGGCCGUCCUGUUUUAAGCAUGAUAAUUGUUGGCCACAUCUCACAUAGUUCUCAUUGAGUGAGUUCAUAAAUAAACA
ensembl:lncRNA MIR100HG mir-100-let-7a-2-mir-125b-1 cluster host gene